CCUACGGGAGGCAGCAGUGAGGAAUAUUGGUCAAUGGGCGUAAGCCUGAACCAGCCAAGUCGCGUGAGGGAUGAAUGUUCUAUGGAUCGUAAACCUCUUUUAUAAGGGAAUAAAGUGCGGGACGUAUCCCGUUUUGUAUGUACCUUAUGAAUAAGGAUCGGCUAACUCCGUGCCAGCAGCCGCGGUAAUACGGAGGAUCCGAGCUUUAUCCGGAUUUAUUGGGUUUAAAGGGUGCGUAGGUGGCCUGUUAAGUCAGUUGUGAAAGUUUGUGGCUCAACCAUAGAAUUGCAGUUGAAACUGGGAGGCUUGAGUAUAGUAGAGGUAGGCGGAAUGCGUGGUGUAGCGGUGAAAUGCUUAGAUAUCACGCAGAACCCCGAUUGCGAAGGCAGCCUGCCAAGCCACGACUGACGCUGAUGCACGAAAGCGUGGGGAUCAAACAGGAUUAGAUACCCUUGUAGUC
rnacentral:rRNA from 1 species